rnacentral:ncRNA from 1 species
GAAAUGUUUAUAGAGGUUGUUAUGAAUUUACUCAUUUCUGUAGCAAUUUUAUAUGAAUACCUGAUUUAAAUAGGAAGGGUGCACUCUAAAUGAAUUUCGAAAGAGAAUUGGGUUAAUAUUCCCGAACCGGGACAUGGUGGUGGACAACAAUGUUAGGAAAUAUGGAGAUGUCAUCGGGGGGCUGGGAAGAGUUAUAUUUUCUUUUUAACGACUUUCCCACCCUGAAAUCGGUUCAACCGGAGAUAUGGUCCAAUGUCUGGAAGAGUACCACACGUCUUGCAGUGUUUGGUGCCCCCUCUGUGGCUAUUGAAAAUAUGGAGAACCGAGUACCAUCCAUGCCCGAUCGUACUCAUAUUUGCCUCCUUGGAUUU